UGCCUGGUUAGCAUAAAUAGUAAUGCAAUUGUUUUGUAAUCAAUAGAAGGGGGUGCAAUACCCCCACUGGGCU
rnacentral:tRNA from 1 species